GUCUACAGCCAUGCCACCCUGAACAAGCCCAGUGUCUGAUCUCGGAAGCUAAGUAGAGUCGGGCCUGGUUAGUACUUGGAUGGGAGACCACCUAGGAAGAGCAGGCGCUGUAGGCA
rnacentral:rRNA from 1 species